rnacentral:rRNA from 1 species
UACGGAGGGGGCAAGCGUUAUUCGGAAUCAUUGGGCGUAAAGGGCGCGUAGGCGGCUUCAUAAGUCUUGGGUGAAAGCCCUCGGCUCAACCGAGGAAUUGCCUUGGAUACUGUGAAGCUCGAGGCUGGAAGAGGGCAGUGGAAUUCCCGGUGUAGCGGUGAAAUGCGUAGAUAUCUGGAGGAACAUCAGUGGCGAAGGCGACACCCUGGACUCAUACUGACACUGAGGUGCGAAAGCGUGGGGAGCAAACAGG